rnacentral:rRNA from 1 species
GAUGAACGCUGGCGGCGUGCUUAACACAUGCAAGUCGAACGGAAAGGCUCCUGCUUGCAGGGGUACUCGAGUGGCGAACGGGUGAGUAACACGUGGGUGAUCUGCCCUGCACUUCGGGAUAAGCCUGGGAAACUGGGUCUAAUACCGGAUAGGACCACAUUUUGGAUGGUGUGGUGGAAAGUUUUUCGGUGUGGGAUGAGCUCGCGGCCUAUCAGCUUGUUGGUGGGGUAAUGGCCUACCAAGGCGUCGACGGGUAGCCGGCCUGAGAGGGUGUACGGCCAAGUUGGGACUGAGUAACGGCCCAGCCCCCUCGGGGGGGGAGCAGGGGGGAAUUUUGCAAAAUGGGCGCAAGCCUGAUGCAGCGACGCCGCGGGGGGGAUGACGGCCUUCGGGUUGUAAACCCCUUUCGCUAGGGACGAAGCGUUUUUGUGGCGGUACCUGGAGAAGAAGCACCGGCUAACUACGU